rnacentral:tRNA from 1 species
UGGUUCAGUGGUAGAAUUCUCACCUUCCAUGUGGGAGGUCCAGGUUCCAUUCCUGG